AUCUUCUUAAAGGAAAAGUCUACCAUAUUCUAUUUUUCUCUUAAAAACUUUUUCCCCUUCAUCAGUUUAUAACAUUCCUUUUAGUUUGAGUUUCAGAUCUUUCAAUGGAUUGCUUCUGUACUUUGAAAUACUGCGUCCAAAAUCCACUGGUGGUGACCAAUACUAACAAUCCCCGCCCUCACCAUCCAUCUCAUGUAAUAUGGGAUUUCAUUUGCAGUUCGCAGAUGGGCUUGAAAAGAUCAAGAACGAAAAAAAGAAAAGCCCAUAUCAAAACGCGGAGGAUUGUUCAUACAAAUUCUUUACGUCUAAAAGAAGCCACUCGUUCUUCCUCACUGGAGCGACGAUCCGGAGAUUUCUCGAAGAUCCGUUCUCUUGAUCAUCCUCUCUCUCAGAUCCAUCAAGCUGAUAACAAUGUCCGAUGAAGAAACGAAACCUUUUCUGAAGAGCAGGAUGUAUGAGUCGAGGUAUCCUUCGAGAGGUGAUAUUGUAAUGGGCAAAGUCAAGAAAAUUGAAGGGCGAGAAGCUGUAGUGUGGCUUGUUGAGUACAAGAAGAGUUGCAAGGUCGUUUUGUCUGCAACAGUACCUCCAGUUCGAGUACUUGCAGAGAAGAGGAUGGAGGCAUUUCGAGUUGCUGAUGUGAGUGUUGAAGAGAGGCAAAUCAUCCUUGAUGAAACACCGCUGUCGAAGGCUGAGAUGUGGGCGUUUGAGAAGCGAUUCAACGAGGCAAAGUUCGUCCAUUCCGUCCUCUUUAGUGUUGCUGAUGAUCUGCAUAUGAAUUUGAAGGAUGCUUAUAAACUUUGUGACUGGCCUUCCUAUGAAGAGCUGAAGACAUUGCACAGAGAUGAGAACUUCCUUGCUUGCAAGAAUGUCUCCUUCAGAAAGCUGCUUCUUGACAGGAUUGGUCUUAUGAAGUACAAUUCAUGGAGAGUGAACGAUCCAAGUCGGCUUCAAACAUCUUCACUCAAGCAAAUCCGUGACAUCUGCUAUGCAAUAGCUUUGGCACGUCAAGCAGAAGCAUUCUUUAAGAAGAGAGGAGAUUUGGGGAAGGAGGAACAUCUCUCAAUUCAACAUAUACUCAACAAAGGGGUUGACUAUGGGUUGGUCAGUAGAGAUUACACCCUCCUUGAGCUUGGAACAUUGGUGAAGAUAUUGCAACGAGAUGGUUUCAUUCUUGACACUGAUUGUCCCCUUACUUACUCUCUUGCUGGAACUCCCUCUGCGUCCGAUAACUCUUGUUCAACUAAAGAUCCUAUUCGUGUUUUCGAAGCUCCUCAAAUAAAAGUUAUGACUGCUGGAGAAGAGGUCCCAGAAGAAUGGAUGGUUGAGGAGAUGUUGGCUGAAUUAGAUGGAGGACCGCUCACGUUCUCUUUGCCUAUGUUCCCAUCCUACAAAACCAAAUCCAAGAAACUAGAUGACAUAUACAAGCCUACAGAAGAUGAGUUUGCAGCCUACAAGUUGGCUAAGGAUAAGGGCAAACCUUGCAAGCUAGAUUUUCAUACCAUGCUGCUUACAGGUGACGGUAUAGACAGGUAUGGGGAUCAGUAUCUUGAAUGUCAAGACUGUCUUGGUGAUAUAGAUAUUGGGGAUCGGGGUUACGUACGUUUUGCGGUCAAACCUAACACGGUAACAGAGUUCGUCUCUUUCAAGAAUGUUUGCAAUCAUGAUGAUGACUAAGUAUGAGAGAAUUCUAGCAUGCCUCGAGACCCUCAGUUAGAAAGAGAUCUGUUUCCUCAUGCAUUGUGUUGUGGUUUAAACUGAUACUUCUCGGAAACUUAGUGCUACAUUAUGGAACUUUGAAAUGUACAGAUAGGCCUGGGCAUAAAAUCCGGAACCCGAAAUCCGAACCGAACCCGAACCGAAAACCCCGACCCGUUAUCCGACCCGAAACGUAAAAAUACCCGAACGGGUUUUGUAGGGUGGUACAAAAAAUAUCCGAACCCGAAGUGUUAUUAACCGAACCCGAACGGGUAACCCGAAAAAUCCGAAAUUAAUAGUCAAUAUAAAUAUUUUGAAAUAUAUAUAAGUAUUCCAAUUAUUAAAUUCAAUAUUUGUGGUAAUAUUAUAUAUAAUAAUAAAUAUUAAAAUUCUAAUAAAUUCUUUAAGUACACAAUUAGUUAUAAAUAAGUAUUUUAUAAUUUGCUCAUUGAAAUAAAAAGUCUACUCUCUAUACGGCAAUACAUAUUGUUUACAAAUGAUGUUUGUUUUCAUGCUUGAUUUAACAUUUUAUUGUUAUUUUAUCAAUUUUAUAUGUGAUAGAUUAAUUUUUAUUUAAUUUAGAUGUUUUUCUUUAUGUUUUACUUCAAAAAUUUUGUUUUUUACUUUGGUUAUAUCUGAACCGAACCGAUAUAACCCGAAUCCGUACGAUAUAUGAUUACUUUAUGGGUUUUAUGAUGCAAUACAAUUUUGAACCGAACCCGAAGUGUUAUUAUCCGAACCCGACCCGUACUAAUAAAAUUUUAGUAUGGGACCUAGAAGCGUAAACCCGAAAAUCCAAAAAUCCGAAAAACCCGAUCCGAAUGCCCACGGGUACCCGAACGCCCAGGCCUAUGUACAGAGAAGGACAUUUACCUAGAACCAUCUACCUGGAUGUCCUUCUAGGCAGAUGGUUCUGCAUGAUAAAGUUGAAAUUGAAGGAUUUCUCGAUCUUGAGGAGGGUGUUAAGGUCGUUUGGGUUACAUAGAUCUUUGGAUGAUGCGGUGAUGAGGUACCUGAUGAAAAACAAGAAAGAAAAAAGCAGUGCGUGUUUCUCUUAUGAUCCAUGUUGUAUGGUGUUUUGUUUUGAAUAUUUUUGUUGAAAGUGUGACGUUGAUAUAUACACUAUAGAAAUUAGAUAUUUGAUUUGAUAGAAACCUUAAUAGUCAGUCAAUACGUGUGAUUAAGAUGUCCGUGUUGAUGAUUAAGAUGUCCGUGUUGAAUAUGGUUGGCUGGUAACAUGCUGGCAUUCAACAUGUGCCACUUGAGUACUACAACUCUCUCAACCAUGGCUUCUAUUUUUGAUUAUUUUAUCUAAAAAAUUAUUCAUAUGUAUGGAAAUGUUUGGGUUUAUAAUCUUA